CCUACGGGGGGCAGCAGUGAGGAAUAUUGGUCAAUGGGCGAGAGCCUGAACCAGCCAAGUCGCGUGAGGGAGUACUGCCCUAUGGGUUGUAAACCUCUUUUGUCGGGGAGCAAAAUCCGGACGUGUCCGGCUGUUAGAUUACCCGAAGAAAAAGCAUCGGCUAACUCCGUGCCAGCAGCCGCGGUAAUACGGGGGAUGCGAGCGUUAUCCGGAUUUAUUGGGUUUAAAGGGUGCGCAGGCGGAUUUUUAAGUCAGCGGUCAAAUCGUGGGGCUCAACCCCAUCCAGCCGUUGAAACUGGGGAUCUAGAGUGUGCGAGAGGUAGGCGGAAUGCGUGGUGUAGCGGUGAAAUGCAUAGAUAUCACGCAGAACCCCGAUUGCGAAGGCAGCAUACCGGUGCACAACUGACGCUCAGGCACGAAAGCGUGGGUAUCGAACAGGAUUAGAUACCCCAGUAGUC
rnacentral:rRNA from 1 species